GACGAACGCUGGCGGCGGGCUUAACACAUGCAAGUCGAACGGAAAGGCCCUGCUUUUGUGGGGUGCGCGAGUGGCGAACGGGUGAGUAACACGUGAGUAACCUGCCCUUGACAGUGGGACAACUUCAGGAAACUGCGGCUAAUACCGGAUAGGCGCUCCAGCUGCAUGGGGGGGGUUGGAAAGUGGCGGCGGUUGGUGAUGGACGCGCGGCGUAUCAGCUUCUCGGUGGGGUAGUGGCUUACCACGGCUUUGACGGGUAGGCGGCCUGAGAGGGUGGCCGGCCACGCUGGGACUGGGCUACGACCCAGACUGCAACGGGCGGCAGAGGUGGAGAAUAUCACACAAUGGGAGGAAGCAUGAUGCAGUGACGCCGCGUGCGGGAUGACGGCCAUCGGGUUGUAAACCGCUUUCGCCUGUGAGGAGGCGUGAGUGACGGUAAUCGGUAAAGAAGUAACGGCUAACUACGUG
rnacentral:rRNA from 1 species